GCAUCCUUUAUUACGGCAAGAAAUUCCACUGCCACACAUGGGCACCUUUCUCCACCAGCUCGAAGAUGGAGAGCUCGGUUGCAUCUCACCUGAAGAUGCAUUUGAAGGGUUUAUUCAGAGAGUUGCAAUGUCUUGUAAACUACAUCCAAGUAAAAACAAUGGUAUGUAUUCGUCAAACCCGAUUGUUAUGGCCAUUUACGGUAGACGCAGAUAUUUGGCCUAUGCUAGAUUAACAGACAAAGUGUGGACUGAAGUUCUCUUCCCCAUUAUGGCCCCCUUUAUAGAGGAUAUCGCUUACUAUAAAGGAAAAUUUUAUGCCCUCAAUGGCAGGGGAGAUCUAUUUGUGUGUGAUAUAGCCAAGGGAACAAAAAUUUAUUCCUGGCCAACUGACCUUGAUAUUGUCAUGCAUUAUAACAAUUCAAGAACCUACUUGGUUGAAUCAGAAUUUGGUUUCUGGUUAGUUGUGCGCAAAUUCAAAGAAAAAUAUUUUAAAGCACCUCAUGGGGCAAGAGCAAAAUACCGUACAUGUAACUUCACAUUAUGGAAGAUGGAACUGAAAUAUUCUGAUCAUCACUCUGAAUUACCUUCAUGUACCUGCAUUGCAGAGAAUAACUUGGGCGACCAGGCAUUAUUCAUCGGCAGAGCUACAUGUCUAUUGCUUCCAUCUUCAGAAUACAUAAGGCCUAACUGCAUCUACUUCACAGAUGACAACCUGGAUCAGUCUUAUCACGUAGGAGGGGGACAUGAUAUGGGAAUUUUCAACAUGGAAACUAACACCAUAGAACCUUUUUAUCAAGGAAAAUCUAUACAUCCCAUCUCCCCCCCACUCUGGUAUAUUUGAAUUUGUAUAAAUUUUCUGGGAGCCAACCAUCAUCAUCUCCUUUACUAUUUUCUUGACUAUAUACAUAUAUGUUCCUUCAUUAUAUAUUUUUCAAUGUCUAUCUGAUUUAUCGUGAAUCUUGUUUUCUGCGAUUUCUCUGCUAUAUUCUGUUUGUACAUUUAUAAACUCAAUUAGAUUUUUAAGACAAACACUAAAUCACAAUCCCUAACUAAAGUACUUAUCUAGGUUCAUUACUUGUAUGUUCUCUGACGGGCAUAGCUUACUUCUCAUUGAGUAAAUCCAUGCUUAGAAAAAUUACGUGCAAGACUUUCUCUUGUUCUCCUCUUAGAUACACAUAGACAACACAAAAAGUUUCUUACCCGCAGGAAUUCCCAUCUGAGUGAAGUGGCUUAAGGAUGACUCCAUGGAUCCUGAUCUAGGUUCACUGAGCAACCUAAUAAUACUAAUAAUGAACCUAGAUUAGGAUCCAACAAGUCGUCAUUAAGCGACUGCACUCAGCAUUCCCACAUAUACAGUGAUACUUAAUUAAUGAUAGCGUACGUAUUGAACUCUGAUGUUCCUCUCUGUUACCUUGGAAGCAUCAUCGGUGUCCAAAUUCCCAGUUCUCAUAUAUGUUAUAUGUUAUGAAAUAUUACAUAUUAUUAGACUUACCAUUAAAUGCAGCUCAUAAAAUUAAAAUGCUUAUAUUAUUGUAAUUUUUUUAAAAUACUUUAAAUUUCAUAACUUGGCGUAUUCUUUAAUAUAUAAGAAAAAGUUCUAAUUUAAAUAUACUAUCAAUGGCUUAGGACAUAAGAUCUUAUGAUACCUCCAUCCAAAGAAACCCCAUGCCCCAUGGUGUAUGCAAGACUUUUCUAGUGCUUUUCUCAUGGUCUCCCUAGUUCUGUAAACCUGGACCUCACCUAAAACAUGAUAGAAUAAGGUCUCCAGCAGACCUUUACCUCCAGUAGUCCUCGUGUAUAGAGGAUUGGCAUCCAAAUAUAUACCGCAUGACCUGAAGACCCUGACAAAGCUUUUACACUAUCUGUCAUCUCAUUUCUUGACAAUCUUUUUAACAGUUUAGCAUGUAUUUUAAGGUACAUAUAAAGUAUAGAUUCACCAUUUUUUUUAAAAAAAAUUCGUGUUCAGUAUAAAAAUUUAAGUAUUAAACUUUUAUUAUAAGGAAAAAAGUUUUAUAAUAAUUUAUCAAACUAUAUUCGAUAAGAGUCUUAAAAUGCCUAGCCCCCAUCCCCAAUGUAAACAAUUGAGGGGACGGAGGGAGUAAUACAAUAUUACAAGUUUACAACAUACCCUGCAUAGAGAAUGGUGUUAUUAAAGCUGUUUCUCUGUGUCUUUAGAAACUUUAAAUUGUCUUCAUGUUUCUUGAUUGUUAGACCUUCCUUUGUCAAAGCAUCUUGUAAUUUCUGCAAUAUUGAACAUAACAGAGCAUUCAAUUAUCAAUAACAGACAAAAGCACACAUACAUAUACAGUGAUAGUUGAUGAUAGCAUAUUGAACUCAGAUGUUCGUCUGUUACCUUGGAAGCAUCAUCAACUGCUUGUGCCCGCUAGACUGUCCAAAUUUCCAGUUUACGCUUUCCAGAAAUAUCACACCGAUCUUGGUCCACUAGUGCUAAUGGAAAUGAAUCCUGGGCAGCUGAGGCAUUUAUCUGCUUUUAAAAAAUGAUCGAGUAUCUAGUCAAUAUCUAAUUAGAAGAUGCGAUAUUAGGGUAUAUGGAAGCCUCAGCAAAUUCCGAACCGGAAGACUGCAGAAUUUUACAGACAGACC
rnacentral:lncRNA from 1 species